rnacentral:lncRNA from 1 species
GAGACACUUAAAAUUUGGAUUCAUUCUAUACACAGUCUCCAGAGAGAUCAAUUUAAAAAGAUAAAGCACCAAGGGUAAAUUCUAAAUGUCUUGCCAUGGUAUACACGUCUCUAUUUGGUCAGUCUAUCUGCCCCUCAGCCUCGCUGCUGUGGUAUGCCCCCCCACCCACGUUUUCCCCACUCACUCUCCCAUGUUCUAUAUCCCAGUAUUUGGCACAAAACAAAUAUUGGCUGAAUGAAUGAAAUUAAUUAAUGUUCCUUACAUUUGUGCUUUUCCUCAGCCUAGCGUGCCUCUCCCCCAACCUCCAUCUGGUUGACUCUUACUUGUGAAGCCUUCAUUCAAGCAGUGUCCUUUUUGCCACCUGGGAUGAGCAGGGAUUCACCUCCUCGCUUCUCCUGUCAUUUUUACCAGGGUUGCAUUUAUCAUACAUAUCACUCCAUAACUUUCUAUCUACACGUUUGUUUUCCUCACAGGUUGUGAACUCUUCACGGGCAAAGAUGGGAUCUGAUUGUCAUUCAAAACGCAGUGCCUAAUUCAAUGCCUGGCACAUUGUCCGGUGAAUGAACUUAUUAACCCACAACAAAAUGUAACUGCAGGAGAGACCAGAAUAUUCUUGGCCAUUGGCGUGGAUUUGGAAAUGAGAAAUGUGGAAAAGCAGCCCUGUGCAGGGACACACAUCUGGCAAGCAUGGCGGUGACGGCCUUCAGCUCAUCAGGGUGGAGAUCCUGGCACCCAGUCCCCUGUGUCUUCUGGGCAUAGUGAGCUUGGCUGUGGUGUCCUUGGUCCCGAAAGUGUUUUUGGGUAUCUGCCCUAAUUGCUCGACUUUUCUGGCUCACCUGGGAUUUCUCUGAGUAGCCAAGUAUCAUUUAAUAAAGUUAUUUUCUGCCUACGCUAGACAGGAUAACUUGUUUUUGCAACUAACAUUCUUAUUCAACAUUCACAGCGUUGCUCUAAUUUCAACAGCCAUUUCCAGAGAAAUGUUGCCUUGUAAUUGUUCUGAUGAAGGCUUCUGUACAGAAUAGUUAGAUACUUUAAGUAAUAUGGAAGUUAUUCCUUUAAUGAUCUUGCUCAAUUUCCCUAAUUUCUGUUGCUUCUCUCAUUUACUAACCCCUCCCACCUUUUUAAAAACCAUUUAAC